rnacentral:rRNA from 1 species
GACGAACGCUGGCGGCGUGCCUAAUACAUGCAAGUCGAACGAGAGCGACCGGUGCUUGCACUGGUCAAUCUAGCGGCGAACGGGUGAGUACCACGUGGGUAACCUGCCCAUCAGAGGGGGAUAACAUCCGGCAACGGCUGCUAACACCGCAUAGGUCUUCGAACCGCAUGGUUUGACGAGGACAAGAGGCGCACGCUUCUGCUGAUGGCUGGUCCCGCGGGGCAGUAGCUAGUUGGUGAGGUUCCGGCUCACCCAGGCCGUAAGGCAUAGCCGACCUGAGGGGGUGAUCGGCCACAUUGGGACAGAGAAACGGCCCAAACUCCGACGGGAGGCAGGAGUAGGGAAGUUUCCGCAAUGGACGCAAGUCUGACGGAGCGACGCCGCGUGAGUGAAGAAGGGUUGCGGAUCGUAAAACUGUGUUGUUAGGGAAGAACAAGAGCUAGGGUAACUGUUAGCGCCUUGACGGUAGCUAACAAGAAAGCCACGGCUAACUACGUG